UAAAGCUACAACAGUACUACAUCUACGAGCAGACUAAAUUACUUAUCAGUGAUUACUGAUAAUGCGUAUAAAUAUUGAACUGAAAUGCUCUCAAUGAAACAGUUCAUUUAAAGUAUUUCAGCAGAUUAAGUAUUACUGCUAGUAAUCAUAAAAAUAAAUAUAUAUUUUUUCCAAUUUAUUAAAUCUGCUUUUAUUAUUUAAAUCAAAAAUAAAAAAUAAUUUAAACAGCAAAAGCCAAUAUACACACAAACACAAAAUUGAUUGCAGCAAUAACAGACCCAGGCAAAUUCGCUUUAAAUCUUGACAGAAAACCCCAACGAAAGAAAUAUGAAAAUAUCGAAAUUAACACAUUUAAUUUUUGUGCUGCUUGCAUUCGUUUCCAUUGCCGUUGGCACAGAAAUUACCGAACUAAAUACACCAGAAAUGGGUGGAAAACUUUUUUGUGUUCAGCCAGGAAAAACUUAUUGUUUAAACGUAGUUAAUUAUCCAAGAGACCGCCUGAAUGAAUUGUUUGAAGGUUUAAUGGUAGAUAAUUCAGAUGCUUAACUUGGUUUAUUAUAAAUAUAAGAAUAAUUCAUUAAUUUAGUCUACUUACAUAAAUUCCAUGAUUAUUGUUACAGCAGCUGUUUUACAAUGAUGAUGAUGAUGUCAUUAUGUGAAUUAUCUUAAAUAUAAAGUAUUAUAUUAGAAUAUUAUUAUAAGAUCAAUUGUAUUUAAGAAAACAUUAUUUAUUAAAAUAAACUAGAUAGUUUUAUUUACACAUUAUAAAAAAAAAUAAAAUGAAAGAAUAAGUGAUACCCUAACUAAGAUAUAA